GGUGGCUCAGUGGUAGGGUGCUUGCCUUGCAUGCAUGAGGCCCUGGGUUCGAUUCCUCAGCACCA
rfam:Dipodomys ordii contig_5606, whole genome shotgun sequence.